ACGGGUGAGUAAUGUCUGGGAAACUGCCUGAUGGAGGGGGAUAACUACUGGAAACGGUAGCUAAUACCGCAUAACGUCGCAAGACCAAAGAGGGGGACCUUCGGGCCUCUUGCCAUCAGAUGUGCCCAGAUGGGAUUAGCUAGUAGGUGGGGUAAUGGCUCACCUAGGCGACGAUCCCUAGCUGGUCUGAGAGGAUGACCAGCCACACUGGAACUGAGACACGGUCCAGACUCCUACGGGAGGCAGCAGUGGGGAAUAUUGCACAAUGGGCGCAAGCCUGAUGCAGCCAUGCCGCGUGUGUGAAGAAGGCCUUCGGGUUGUAAAGCACUUUCAGCGAGGAGGAAGGUGGUGAACUUAAUACGUUCAUCAAUUGACGUUACUCGCAGAAGAAGCACCGGCUAACUCCGUGCCAGCAGCCGCGGUAAUACGGAGGGUGCAAGCGUUAAUCGGAAUUACUGGGCGUAAAGCGCACGCAGGCGGUUUGUUAAGUCAGAUGUGAAAUCCCCGGGCUCAACCUGGGAACUGCAUUUGAAACUGGCAAGCUAGAGUCUCGUAGAGGGGGGUAGAAUUCCAGGUGUAGC
rnacentral:rRNA from 1 species